AUAAACGCCAUGAAGAGAAGAGUAAAUGAACAGGAAUCCCCACAGAGAGCUCCGGUAUGCUGAAAAGGAGCGGGAAGCCCUUCAUUGAACCAAGCCUCCGAGCGGCGCAUCGGAACUUAUCGAUAAGGGAUGGUGCGACAGGAGCUCCUGUUACAGAGCUAGGGUAUAAGCGAUCGCGUGAUGGCCGUACCCGAUAAGGCUGGUAUCGAGAGAUAUCGGCAAACCGGGGUGGCACCGCGAAACGAAUCUCGUCCCCAAG
rnacentral:ncRNA from 1 species